CUGCUCAGCAUAAUCAGUCUGUAGAUAUGCACACAUGCAGUUGCCUCUCAGUAAAAGUAGGUCAGAUUUUGGCGCCUCUACUGAUGUUGCAUAAAAUAAAUUUCCUUUGAUUUGCCCAGCCAUUAGGACACUGAAAGAUUUGCUUCAUAAUGUCUGAAGAUAGUCAAUUUUGGAGGAUGCAAGGAUCUCAGAUGGAACUGUAUCGACAUAAAAGUGAAUAUAGAAACAAAUUGCGCUUUCAUUUCAAGAAAAGCACGUAAUGCACAAAUGACCCCAAGUAGCCACAUUUCUUUAUGCAUUUGAAUGGAAUAUUUUUCAGAA